ensembl:snoRNA
UGGAUUGAUGGUGACUUCUGGUAGCGUAUGAGUCGUAUACGAUGAAUAUGUGUCUGGAACUCUGAGGUCCAG